GUGGACCCUAGAGUGCAUGAAUGGUCUACUUUACAUCUACUUAAAUGUGAAUAUAAAAAUAAAAAGAUGUGGUAAGAUUGCCAAUGAGAAGAGUCCAAUUCUCCACAAGAGAUCAAAUGACAUAGAAGUUAACAAGUAUAUUAAAGUUAUGGUACAAAUGUACAAGAUGACUUCAACAAUGAACAAAGCCCAUACCAGAAAGUCAGCUAUAAAAGACAUUUAAUGGAAAUGACAAAUGUUAAACAAUGCAAAUGAAGAAACUAACAGACUGAUAAUGAUUUAUAAACAAAACAAGGAACAAAUAAACAAAUAUGAUAUACAGCAACAAGAAACAGGGCAAGUCUAGAUCUGUUGUUCUUGUUUUAAAAGAUCAAAAUAAGCCAUUUUUGCCAUAUAAAAAUAUUUAAGGCAAUUUGGCAGAUGUAUUGUAACUUCAUCUUAUUAUACAUUUGAACAUGUUAUACAUUAUUUCUUUUAGCAUUUUCAAUAAAAGUACAUUUUGUACAUGUACUUCAACAGAACAGAAUUCAUUUGAGGCCUUGCUUUCCAGAUUAUAUAAUGGAUUCAUAGAUUGUCAUAUUGAUUUAUGUGCAUAAAAGGAGCAGUAGUCAAUGAAUAAUUUUGUGAUGAGAGCUUAUUACCAUGGUUACCAAAUGAAAGGAAAGUGCAGUAUUAGAAUCACUGGUGUACAUGUAGAUGCGGAUGUCCGGCAAAAAGAACUGGUAUCAAAGUAAGUUCAUCUGUAGAAUUGCAGUUAAUUUAAAUAAUUUAAUGUUAUCUAUUUAAACCUUUUUCAAGUGUAAUUGUACAUGUUACGGCAUGUAUACUGUUGUUUAUUUAUGUCUUUCUGAUGUCAAGUAUGCAUCAAGGAAUCCUUAUCCUGCUCUCCUUCUUCUGCUCCACACACACACACGCAUGAGAUGACAGAAGUUCAAAUAUUUAUAGCAUUUGCUUAUAUUAUGAAUUGUAUAUUUAAAAGUUGUUCUCGUCUGAAAUAUACAUACAUUGUAAAAUAUUUGCCACUGAACAUUAAAAUAAGCAAAAAAAAUCAAUCGAUUAUUGUUUUUGCAUUAUAGGAAUGAGUUUUCAAACAUACAUGUAUAACAAUUGAAUAAUUUCCUUUUAAGAUUUUUUUAUGAACCAGCAUAUAGAUAUAACAUGUAUAAGGAGAUGAGGUACAUGUAUGAUUCUUAAUGUGACAACUAUCAAUUAAAAAACCAAAGGACGAAGAUGUAAACAUUUGCUGGUCACUGUACAGCCAUAAACAAUGAUCAAAAUCCAUACCAUAAAGUAACCUAUUAUGGCUAUACAUGUAACUUGUAUAAGGAUGAAAAAAUGUGAACCAAUAAAAAAAAUAAAACUACACACAGUAUGGCAGACAGCACCCAACAUAAGAACCAAAUGUCAGAAUCAGCCAGAAAGGGCUGGACUCAUCAACAAGCACUAAAAAGAAAUAACAAAAUAAUAAAAGAUGCAAAAAUUAUGUAUUCCCAAACUAAAAUAUCUAUCAGUUCACCUUCGACAGAUUUAAUCAAUUAAUGUAACAACAAAACAUUUGUCAUUUCAAACAGUCUAAGAAAGCAUGACUUUGUGUAAUGCCAAAAUAUUGAACACACAAGAAUAUGUAGGACCAUAACAGCAUAUAAGUAUUAAUAGUUGCAUAGAAUUUCAAUUUCUGAAAUACAUGUUCUGCUUUUUGUCAAGCUUGCAAAUUUAUUUCACGAAAGCGAGACAGUGAUCCUAGAUUCUGCCAGAGGCGGCGUCGCUGUCCUAAAAUUUAGGUUCAGUCUGUGGUUAAAUUUUUUUUGAACAUUGAUAACUUUGUCAAACAGACAUGGGAUUUUGUGAAAUUGAGACAGAAUAUUUGAAGUUUCUUAAUGACCAAACUACAGUAUCCAAGGCAAAAUUUUUCUGUAUUUCAACUAAUAAAUGGGCUUAGUUUUUUUGAUGAGCUUGCGACUUCCGUUGCAGAAAGCUCGACAUAGGGAUAUUGAUCAGGCGGCUGCGUCCAUGGUGGGGUUAACAAACUUCUUCAAAUCUUUAUAUUUUAGAAGGUGGAAGACACGGAUGCUUCAUACUAUGUACAAUGUAUAUAGAUGCAUAUGUAUGUUAUGAAGUUUCUGUCAGUCAACUGUCCAUUGUCCUUGAACUCAUUUUCAUGAUUUAGUGAUUACUUGAAAAAAUAAAGAUUUUUUGUAAUGUUAAUUUCUCUCAUAAUUUCUCUCUUAUUAAUAUUAUUUAUAGUAUUCAUGGUAAUAGGAUAUUUAUAUUUACUUAGUAUAUGGGUACCUUGCAAGGUCCUAGUGUCUGUCUACUCUGUCAGAAAGUUUUUGUGGUCAAGUCAAUAUCUCAGGCAUUAUCAGCAAUAAGUCUACUGUAUUUGGUGUAUGGAAUUAUUGUAAGGUGUAGAUGUCCAACUGGUAGUUGUAAUCUGGCCUUGACCUCAUUUUAAUGGUUCAGUAAUAAGUUUUUAUGUUUUGGUCUAAUUUUUAUACGACCGCAAAAAAAAUUUUGUGGUCGUAUAUUGGUAUGACGUUGGCGUCAGCGUCGUCCGGCGUCGUCGUCCGAAGACACAUUAGUUUUCGCACUCUAACUUUAGUUUAAGUAAAUGGAUCUCGAUGAAAUUUUACCAUAAGGUUCAAUACCACAAAAGGAAGGUGGGGAUUGAUUUAGGGGGUUAUGGUACCAACAGUUAAGGAAUUAGGGGCCAAAAAGGGGCCAAAAAUAAGCAUUUUUGUAACUUCCAGACAUAACUUGUGUGUAAGUGUAUGGAUCUCUCUGACAUUAUACCACAAGGUUCCAUAUCACAAAGGGAAUGCUGGGAUUGAUUUUGGGGGUAAUUGCCUCCAAAUUUUAGGAAUUAGGGGCCAAAAAGGGGCCAAAAACAAGCAUUUUUCUACUUUCAUGACAAUAACUUGUGUGUAAGAGUAUGGAUCUUUCUGACAUUGUAUCACAAGGUUCCAUAUCACAAAGGGAAUGCUGGGAUUGAUUUUGGGGGUAAUUGCCUCCAAGUUUUAGGAAUUAGGGGUCAAAAAGGGGCAAAAAACAAGCAUUUUUUUAGUUUCAUGACAAUAACUUGUGUGUAAGUGUAUGGAUCUUUAUGAAAUUGUACUACAAGGUUCCAUAUCACAAAGGGAGAGCUGGAAUGGAGUUUGGGGGUAAUUGCCCAAAAAGUUUAGGAAAAAGGGGCCAAAAAGGGGCCAAAAAUAAGCAUUUUUCUAGUUUCCAGACAAUAACUUGUGUUCAGGUGUAUGGAUCUCUCUGAAAUUGUACUGCAAGGUACCAUACCACAAAGGGAAGGCUGGGAUUGAUUUUGGGGUUAAUUCCCUCAAAAUUUUAGGAAUUGGGGGCCAUAAAAGGGCAAAAAAACAAGCAUUUUUCUAGUUUUAGGACAAUAACUUUUGUGUAAGUGUAUGGAUCUUUAUGAAAUUGUACUGCAAGGUUCCAUAUCACAAAUUAACGGGAAAGCUGGGUUUGAGUUUGGGGGUAAUUGCCCUAAACGUUUAGGAAUUUGGGGCCAAAAAACAAGCAUUUUUCUAGUUUCCAGACAAUAACUUGUGUUCAAGUGUAUGGAUCUCUCUGAAAUUGUACUGCAAGGUACCAUACCACAAAGGGAAGGCUGGGAUUGAGUUUGGGGGUGAUGAAUCAUAAGGGGGUUCAAAAAAUUGGGGGGGGGGAUUUUUUUUUCCUUUUUUUUCUUUAAAAUUUUCAAUUUUAAAUUGGUUAUUUCUGAUUUAUAUAUAAAAGCAAAUAAUAAUGAUAUGGUUUGAAUAGGUAAAUUAAAAAAUUUUAAGUUCUUAGACCACUUUCAUUCUGUGUCAGAAACCUAUGCUGUGUCAAAUAUUUAAUUACAAUCCAAAUUCAGUGCUGUAUCAAGCUUGAAUGUUGUGUCCAUACUUGCCCCAACUGUUCAGGGUUCGACCUCUGCGGUCGUAUCAAGCUGCGCCCCAGCGGAGCAUUUUAUUGGAUACUAUAAGCAUUCAGUAAAUUAUAUUUGGUGUAUGGAAUGUUUGUAAGGUGUACUGAUCUAAAAUUGAGAAUGGAAAUGGGGAAUGUGUCAAAGAGACAACAACCCGACCAAAGAGCAAAAAACAGCCAAAGGCCACCAAUGGGUCUGACAGUAAUCACCUAAACUUGACCUCAUCUUCAUGGUUCAUUGGAUAUUUUUUUCUUGCUUAGAGGUGAACUAUAAUUGGUUUCUGGAAUGAUUGUAAAUUAAAAUUGUAAGGUGUUUAGGUUUAACUUUACAUUUAUGUUGCAGGCUUCAUCUGACCUUAACCUUAUUUUCAUUGUUCAUUGGUCAAUAUUAAAUUUCUCUUGAUUUGGUCUUUUUUUUAGAUACUAAAAGUAAAGGUGAACUACUUUAUGUUUAUGGAAUGAUUGUAAGGUAUUUAUAUUUGUCUUGCAGGUACAAUUCUUGCCAGAUUUUUUAAAACUUAUUCUAUAGGUUAAUAUCAGCAUAAUCCUAGUCAAGCUUUAUAAAUUUGGCCGAUCAACUUUUUUCUAAAGAGUUAUGCCCCUUGGAAAUAAUAAAUUUAUGGAAAAUGGCCUCGUAAAUGCUCUCAUUUUUUGUCGAGCCUUCGACUUUUGUCGAAAAAGCGAGACAUAGCGAUCCUACAUUCCGUCGGUGUCGGCGGCGUCCAAAAAUAUUCACUCUGUGGUUAAAGUUUUUGAAAUUUUAAUAACUUUCUUAAACUAUCCUGGAUUUCUACCAAACUUGGACAGAAGCUUGUUUAUGAUCAUAAGAUAGUAUCCAGAAGUAAAUUUUGUAAAAAAAAAAUCCUGUUUUUCCGUAUUUUACUUAUAAAUGGACUUAGUUUUUCUGCCAGGAAACAUUACAUUCACUCUGUGGUUAAAGUUUUUAAAAUUUUAAUAACUUUCUCAAACUAUCCUGGAUUUGUACCAAACUUGGCCAGAUGCUUGUUUAUGAUCAUAAGAUAGUAUCCAGAAGUUAAUUUUAUUAAAAAAAAAUCCUGUUUUUCCGUAUUUUACUUAUAAAUGGACUUAGUUUUUCUGCCAGGAAACAUUACAUUCACUCUGUGGUUAAAGUUUUUAAAAUUUUAAUAACUUUCUCAAACUAUCCUGGAUUUCUACCAAACUUGGCCAGAUGCUUGUUUAUGAUCAUAAGAUAGUAUCCAGAAGUAAAUUUAAAAAAAAAAAAUCCUGUUAAUCCGUAUUUUACUUAUAAAUGGACUUAGUUUUUCUGCCAGGAAACAUUACAUUCACUCUGUGGUUAAAGUUUUUAAAAUUUUAAUAACUUUCUUAAACUAUCCUGGAUUAUAACCAAACAUGGCCAGAUGCUUGUUUAUGAUCAAAAGCUAGUAUCUAGAAGGAAAUUUUUAUUAAAAUUUUGUACUUGUUUAUCCAUAUUUUACUUAUAAAUGGACUUAGUUUUUCUUCCAGUUAACAUUACAUACAGUCUGCAGUUAAAUUUUUAAAAAUAUUUAUUAGAUUCAUAAACUAUCCUGGAUUUUUACCAAACUUGGACAGAAGCUGCUUACAAUAAAAAAAUUGUAUCGAGAGGAAUAUUUUUAUUAAAUUUUUUCCUCAUCUCAUUUUUGUUGAGCCUGCGAUUAACAGCAAAAGUAGGCAAGACACUGGGUUCCGCGGAACCCUUACGAAUUUUUUUAUUAAACUUAUACAUGUAGUAUACUAUUAUAGUAAUGCCCUGGUCGGUUUGAAAUAUUUAGUAUACAAGAAAAAGAACUUUUUUUCCCCCAAACACAUUUUUAUUUAUAAAUAUUUUUGAGAACAAAAAAUAAAAUUGAGAAUGGAAAUUGGGAAUAUGUCAAAGAGACAACAACCUGACCAAAGAGCAAAAAAACAUGUUUUUUUUAAAUAUUGCCCCUUGAUAGAUAAAAAAUGUACGACUAGUUGGACAUUGAAACUCUUUUCUUUUAUUUUUACUUGCAGAAACUGAAAAGUAAAGAAACAGAACCAAAGAACGUUAAUUUUAGAUUAAUACAAUAUUGAACUGAAAGUCAAUUUAGUUGUCUUUCUUAAUCAUACAGGAUGUUUCCAAAAAAGCAGCUGCAUACACAUGCACCAGUAAUAGCCAGCAGUGAAGACAAUUAAAUAUCUGUGUAUGGUGAUAUAGCAAUAGAAAUAUCACAUACAUCAUAGGAAAAUAGAAAUGGAGUAUGUCAAAGAGACACACAUAAUGACAUAUGAAAAUAGAAUAUAGACAAUAGAAAUGGAGUAUGUCAAAGAGACACACAUAUGAAAAUAGAAUAUAGACAAUAGAAAUGGGGUAUGUCAAAGAGAAACACAUGAAAAUAUAGAACAUAGACAAUAGAAAUAGGGUAUAUCAAAGAGACAAACAUAUGAAAAUAGAAUAUAGACAAUAGAAUUUGGGUAUGACAGAGACAAAAAUAUUAAAAAUAGAAUACAGACAAAAGAAAUGGGGUAUGCCAAAGAGACUAACAUAUGAAAAUAGAAUAUAGACAAUAGAAAUGGUGAAUGUCAAAGAAACAAACAAACCAAAAUAGAAUAUACUAGACAAUAGAAAUGUGGUAUGUCAAAGAGACAAAAAUAUGAAAAUAGAAGAGACAACAAUUUAAUAAAAAAAAAAUUCUACUUGAUAUAAAAAUUAUGGAGCACUGUUAUUUUUCUGCAUAAAAGAAUGCCUGUA